rnacentral:misc_RNA from 1 species
CUGAGAAAGGGUCUCCAGGCCCAAUCUUCAACCCCAUGUUUAUACUACCUUGUUUCUUUGGCGGGGUUAAAGCCGCCAGAAGAAUUCUCAAACUCAUCAUAAAUGUGUCGUCUGAAUAACAAAAUAAAUAAAUUA